rnacentral:rRNA from 1 species
UACAGAGGAGCCAAGCGUUGUCCGGAUUGACUGGGCGUAAAGCGCACGCAGGCGGUCGGGCGCGUGGGGUGUGAAAUCUGGCCGCCUAACGGCCAGGCGCCAUCCCAUACGGCUCGACUGGAGUGAUGCAGAGGUCGAUGGAAUGCCGGUGUAGUGGUGAAAUGCGUAGAGAUCGGCAGGAACACCCAGGGGAAACCAGUCGAC